ACGAAUGAAUCGACCCCGCCGCAAGCUUUUUUCCGACGAGUAGUGAUUCAUGUUAAAGAUUAAAUCUAUUUAAAUUUUAUUUUGAAAUCAGAAUUAUAGAUUCAUGGCUUCCAGCAGACUCAAAAAUUUAUUGUUAAUUACUCCACACUUUCAGUGAUAAGCAACUCUCGAUUAAGAGACGAAAUUUAAUGCCAAUAAUAGAUAAAGACCAUAGUAUAAAGAUGAAUUUGUAUUAAUAUAAUUUUCAAGUAUAUAGUUUAAGCAAGGGCAUACUUUCACUGUAUAUUAAUAAAAUACUCAGUUUAGCGAUGUGACGGUCAAAAAGAGUUUAAAAUUGAUUUGCUCAAUUUACCGACUUAGCAGUCAAAUGUUUAGUUUAAGAACUUGGCGGUCAAAUGUUCAGUUUAAUUAUACAGCCACUGUUGGCAUUCGGUUAAAUCGAAUCGGGUACGCCCAUAAGCGGGUUCGAUCCGACGGAUAUUAUGUUAUCUAAUUGGAUUAGGAUUAAUCUCGCUUUCAAAUUGGAAAGUUGGUUAGAGAUAAAUCCUAGUCAUAUUAGGAUAACAAUUAAUAACCGAUUUGGCCUUAUCUCUAAUGCCAUAAGGAUUUUGGAAUCCCUUAUAAAUAUGCGGGCGAUCCCACGUAACGUAAUAUACGGAAAAAAGCCAAAAAAGAUAGAGAAUAAGAAAAUAAUAGAGAGAAACCACAUCCUCCAUUGAUCUAUUAUUCUAGAGGGACUUGCACGGUGGAUUUGCGAUCGCGCUCGUUUGUAGUUCGAUCCACCGCGAGUUCGUGGAGCGUGAGAAGACAUUCAAGGACGAUCCGAGGACACGUGAAUCAAUCUAAACGAUCCGGGUUCAUCGCGUUGUUGCGCGAAUCGCUUCCGAAAAAGGUACGAACGAAUACUUCCGCUGCGUUCUACAGCCACACUUGCAACACA
rnacentral:lncRNA from 1 species